rnacentral:rRNA from 1 species
GACGUAGGGCGCGAGCGUUGUCCGGAUUUAUUGGGCGUAAAGCGCGCGUAGGCGGCUACUUAAGUCGGAUGUGAAAGCCCCUGGCUCAACUGGGGAAGUGCACCCGAAACUGAGUGGCUUGAGUGCGAAAGAGGGUCGCGGAAUUCCCGGUGUAGAGGUGAAAUUCGUAGAUAUCGGGAGGAACACCGGUGGCGAAGGCGGCGACCUGGGUCGACACUGACGCUGAGGCGCGAAAGCGUGGGGAGCAAACAGG